UCUCUCAAUGCCUAGUUACUUUCCAUAACACUAUAGUUUCACCCUAUAGGACAAGUUACUUUUAAACAUCAUAUGUUUAAAAUUAUGAAAAAUAUAAAUACAUAAUGUACAAGUUUUAUUUUAUUUGGUAGAUUACUAUUAAUUUAAUGCAAGAGUUGAAUAAUUUAGGCUAACUAUGUGUAGUAAUAUUAAAAGUCUUAUCAUCUGUGGAUAUAUUUUUAAAUGCUUCUUUAAUUUAGGGCAAUAAUCUAUAAUAAUAAGGAGAAAAAUUUGGAUUUUUGAGUAGUUAAUGCAGUUUAAAAAGCAAUUGUUGUAGUUGUAAAUGUAUAUUUUUAGAAUGGAUUGUAUACAGAAUGAGUCACAAUGUAGAACCAUUCGAUUGAAUCACAAAAAUCUAUGAGUUCAGAAAAUCUCUCUCGAUUUUUUAUUCUACAGAACAUUCCAUUACCAAAAUUAAUUUAUUAAUUUAUGAAAGCAAGAAAAAAACAUAAAAAUUUCUACAGAAAUACCUAAUUAUUUUAAUAAGAGUAUAAGAAUGUGGAGGAAACUCAGAAGAAUCAGAGAAUUUCUAGUUUUAAACGAUUUUAUGCUGUCAAUUAAUGUGCCCAUAAUGUAAUUUUUUAACCCCAUUAAUUCAAUUCAUAGCAAUAGGAAAAUGUCUCGAUCCAUUUUAUCUUCUACUUAUCAACAAACAUGUCUUUUUUUCAAGUAUUUUCAAGUAAAAUGUUGCAAAUGAUUUAAUGAAAAUUUUCAUAAUCAACUAAUUUGUAGGAAUUAUUUAGCCUCCCCCAUCUUUCUUCAGUGAAACAAUAGAAAUUAUCAUUAUAGAUAUAUAUCCAUUAAGUAACAAUUAGCCGAAUUUUAUCGACUGAAUUUUUCAUGAGACCACGUUUGUAAAACCUGUAUUAAAUUCGAAAAGAAGAAUAAGGUAUUUACAUAAUGACAGUUACAAGUUGGAUCAUACCAGUAAAUAGUAUAAACAGUUUUUGGCAAGAGCACUGUAGUCACUACAAACGUGAUGGAUAGUCAACUGUCUAGAACACAGCCAUAUCUUUAGCUAACAGUAAGAGUUCUACAAAUAAACAGAAAUCGAUCUCGUUAUAGAGAAAAUGUCAUUGUCCAGUUAGAAGUUUAAGUAAAUUUGAUAAAUGGAAGAUAGCUCAUUUCUAUAUUGGGUUGAUAUGGAUGGGGCAGAAUCUUACCCCCCGGUACCUGAAGAAUUCUUGCGAUCACCAUUGGAUUGGGCGACAUUUUCGGAAGAAGCGUUGAAACUGGACGUGGAAUGUCUCCAAGCGUAA